CCUACGGGAGGCAGCAGUGAGGAAUAUUGGUCAAUGGACGAGAGUCUGAACCAGCCAAGUAGCGUGAAGGAUGACUGCCCUAUGGGUUGUAAACUUCUUUUAUAUGGGAAUAAAAUGUUCCACGUGUGGGAUUCUGUAUGUACCAUAUGAAUAAGGAUCGGCUAACUCCGUGCCAGCAGCCGCGGUAAUACGGAGGAUCCGAGCGUUAUCCGGAUUUAUUGGGUUUAAAGGGAGCGUAGGUGGAUUGUUAAGUCAGUUGUGAAAGUUUGCGGCUCAACCGUAAAAUUGCAGUUGAAACUGGCAGUCUAGAGUGCAGUAGAGGUAGGCGGAAUGCGUGGUGUAGCGGUGAAAUGCUUAGAGAUCACGAAGAACUCCGAUUGCGAAGGCAGCUCACUGGACUACAACUGACACUGAGGCUCGAAAGUGUGGGUAGCAAACAGGAUUAGAUACCCUUGUAGUC
rnacentral:rRNA from 1 species